UACGAAGGGGGCUAGCGUUGCUCGGAAUCACUGGGCGUAAAGCGCACGUAGGCGGAUCCUUAAGUCGGGGGUGAAAUCCUGGAGCUCAACUCCAGAACUGCCUUCGAUACUGAGGAUCUCGAGUCCGGGAGAGGUGAGUGGAACUGCGAGUGUAGAGGUGAAAUUCGUAGAUAUUCGCAAGAACACCAGUGGCGAAGGCGGCUCACUGGCCCGAUACUGACGCUGAGGCACGAAAGCGUGGGAGCAACAGGG
rnacentral:rRNA from 1 species